rnacentral:rRNA from 1 species
UACGUAGGGCGCAAGCGUUGUCCGGAAUUAUUGGGCGUAAAGGGCUCGUAGGCGGCCAACUAAGUCGGAUGUGAAAUCCCCAGGCUUAACCUGGGAACUGCAUCCGAUACUGGAUGGCUUGAAUUCGGGAGAGGGAUGCAGAAUUCCAGGUGUAGCGGUGAAAUGCGUAGAUAUCUGGAGGAAUACCGGUGGCGAAGGCGGCAUCCUGGACCGACAUUGACGCUGAGUGAGCGAAAGCUAGGGGAGCAAACGGG